AAGAGGAAACUGAGAUCCAUCUAGAGAGGGUGGAACCACCUCCCACGCCAGACAGGGGAACUCCCAGACUGGAGCACCUAGGGAGAAAGCUGGGACCAUGAAAGGGAAGCCACCUGAGUCGCCAGUGCAGAGUCACAGGGAUUCCAGGAACACUACGAAGUCAGGAAAAUGGUGUCUCGGGACAGUCUGCAAGCCUGGCUACUCCAACCCUGGACAGGCCAGCUGUUGGUUUAGCAAGGCCAGUGCCAGGAAACAGUCACUGUCACACAGUAGCUUUUGGGCAUCGUGUUUGUCAAAGCAACGGAAGCCUAAGACCCUGGGCUAAAUAAGACACCUGUCUCAAAAAACAACAGAAACAUCAACCCCAAGGAUGGCUCUCAGCCUUGUCAAUCACACCGUGAACACCAGUUACAACCAGUAUGCGUAAGAAAACUCACAUAUAUGUACGUGCGUGUGCACACCAUGCCUUCA